UACGUAGGGUGCAAGCGUUAAUCGGAAUUACUGGGCGUAAAGCGUGCGCAGGCGGUUUUGUAAGUCUGGCGUGAAAUCCCCGGGCUUAACCUGGGAAUGGCGAUGGAGGCUGCAAGGCUAGAGUUUGGCAGAGGGGGGUAGAAUUCCACGUGUAGCAGUGAAAUGCGUAGAGAUGUGGAGGAACACCGAUGGCGAAGGCAGCCCCCUGGGUCAAAACUGACGCUCAUGCACGAAAGCGUGGGGAGCAAACAGG
rnacentral:rRNA from 1 species